AUAUAUAUAGACAAAAAAAAAGGAAAAAAAAUUAAGAAAAAGGAGAUGAAGGGGCAGAUGGAUAGAAAGGAGUAACGUAAAAAGCAUUUAGAAGAAAAAUAGUCCCACUUUAAUUAAAAGAGAGAGAAUAUGGGCUCCACUAACAUCCUAAUUAAGAAGAGAGAUAACGUAGACUCUACUAAUUAAGAGAAUAAUUAUAGCUUUAGAGAGGGAAGGGGCCCACUUUUUUCAUGAAUUGCGGAGAGGGCUUGAAAUCCAUAAUGAUUCAUUAUAUUUUAUAGAUUUGUAAAACUGGUGUAAUGUAGAUAGUAAUAAUAUAUAUAAUUUUCCACAAUUACUUCCAUACUUAAAAAGUUUUAUUUACUUAUAUAUUUACCAUUUGAAUUUAAAAUUUAAAUUUCAAAUCAAAAUUUUUACUUAAAAUUUGAAUUCUAAGUCUAAAUUUUUAUUUUGAACUUGAAUUCAAAAGCUAAAUUAAAAUUCAAAAAUUGGAUGGGAAUUUAAAUUUUGAAUUCAGUUUUGGAAUUUAGAUUUGAAAUCGAAUACAUAACCUAAAGUUAAAUUUAAAAUUUCGAAUUUGAACGUAAAAUUUAAUUUUAUUUAUAUUUGAAAUCAAAUUCAUAAAUUGAAUUUGAAUUUUAAAUUAAAAUUAAAAUAUGAAUUUGAAUUUAAAAUUUGAUUUUAAAUUAAAAUUCAAAUUUUAAAUU
rnacentral:lncRNA from 1 species